rnacentral:lncRNA from 1 species
AUCCAUAUAAUCCAAGGUGGUGACCAGCGAACGGCGGCAACACAAUGGCCAGCAAACAGCGGCGCGUCCCCUCGUGAUAGAAACUAAACAUCCACCGUUACUGCUCCACCCUCUGAUGGAGGUCCUUACCUUAUCCCCCGGCCCAACCAACGGCAACAAUAGCCAUCCCUGUAUAUGAAUUUUCUUCUUGUAUAGAAUGGUGUAGACAUUGUGAUUAUCUGAUGUAAGUCAUCCAUGACUGGUGUUGAUACUGUAAAAUUUUAUUACUCUGUGAAUUACUGAUUCACUUUCUUUUGCAUAUUUCAGUUUCACCGAAUGUGGUGUGAAUUUCAGUUUCACUUAAUUAUUGAUUCACUUUCUUGUAUAAUUUUUCUUGGGUGUACUGAAGAUAUAUGGAUUGAUGAGAGGAGAAUUGAUUUCGAAAGUUAUUUAGGAUUCAUUGCAAUGAUUGAUUUCUAAAUACAAAUAAUUUCUAACACCAGGCUCCAUUUGGUGUGGCUAUGCAUCAUGAAGAGGUAGAAUUUUCCCUCUGAAAAAUCAACACCAAUAUACACCUCUAGUUGCAACACCUGCACAUGCCGCGGGUGUGGCGCGCGCGGGGGGGCCGCAGCUAGGGAUUCACGCAGGACACAGUGGCAUUGCGCCUGCCAGAGGGUCAGUUAGCAUCGCAUGAGAGCCGGCGACCAGGCUGUUUAUCCAUGAUCCAAUGGUCUAGAUCUGAAGUUUUCAGAUUUGCGCCGGAAAUGAGUUUUAACAGGAUACGUUCCCUACUUGUUUUCUCUCAUACUGCAUAUUUUACUCAAAGUGCAAAUUGUCCUGAUAUAUCAAAUGGCAACUUAUAAAUCUUUUUCCCUGGAUAUUUGACUUGAGUUGGUAUCCAAACAGUGGCUUACUAUAUGAUAUAAGAUGAGAUAUGAACUCAAAUAAGUCACUGUUUGCAUGGGAGACGCAAAGAACUUGGAAGGAUAAGAUUGAGUUCAUAUGUGAACCAUAUAUUAUCAAGGGGAAGUUGUAGAAAAGAUCAGUAAAUGACCAAGAUGAAGUUAUAGAACAGGCUCGCCUUAACAGCAAGCAGAUAAACAAAGAGUACACUUUCUAGCGACAGAAGCAGAUAUAUACACCGAAAAAAACAAAAAACAAAUCAAAUCUCCAGAGUCCACGCCAACUGAGAACAGCAAGCAGCAAGGAUUUAAGUUGUAACUGGUAAACAUGAGCGAAUAGACCUCUAUAAGACUGCAACUUAUUAUACCUCAUACAGCUCGAAUCGAAUCGAAUCAGUGAGGUGUGGAGUCUCACCCAGUCGCGCCAGGAGACCAGCGUUAUGGCCCUCGUCCAGCCGGCGGCGAAGCGGUUGCGUCUCAGGAAACUCCUCCGAGUACAUGCAGAUCGUCACGCCUCCCCUGUCUAUCGACUUGGGUGUGGCAGACACAUGAGAUCCAGUCCAUCCUGGACUGGCUGAUCAAGGGACCCACCUGUAAGAGCUACGGCUCCUCCUUAUAUGCUCUGUAACUGAAUAUUGUUGGCGUGUGGAAAUUGAAUACGACCUGAAUUCUCGCCUGUCUGUCUGAGUCUCUCAUCCCCUUCGUCUCUUCCUCACCUUUGUUCCCCAAAUUACCGUGCGAUUCCUUUCGUCGGAGUAGGGUCGCCCCACAGAUUUGGUCCUGCAUGCUCCCUCCGCCUCUGUCCCCCCACCCAACUGGGGCACAGUGGCGGCGACGCCGCGCCGUCACCGAUGGGGGGCGUCAGCGGGAGCUUCAUAUGGGACCCCGACGGAAGGUUGUGUCCCGCCUCCGCGCCGUUGCCGAUGGGGGCAUCAUCGGGAACGUCAUAUGGGAUCCCGACGGAAGGAUGUGUCUGCCGUCGCCGAUGGGGGCGGAGCGGCCGAUGCGGGGGAGGGACGCGAGAGAUAGAGGAGAUCGACGGGGAAGACAGAGUCGAAACUCGAACGUUGCAGGAGAAAAACGCCCGAUUCGGGCCAGCGCGGCUGCAGGCUGCGGAGUUCAGAGGCCUUUCUUUUCGUAUUUGGGCUGCAGCCACGGCCUAGAAAACCAAACAACCCAAUAUGGUCGUUACGUGGACCUCUAGGGCUAGCCUGCUGAAUUCAAUUUUCAUCAAUUUCGUCAUUUUCAAAACUUCAGCUCAGCAAUUUUUUAAAAAUGUCUGUCACGUGGGAGUAUAUAGUACUUCCUGCGUUCCGAUAUUCUACAUUUGUCUGAAAAAUCAAACUUAAAGUUUGACCAAAUUUAUACAAUAUUUGCAUGGUCGUUACAUGGAGUAACAUCUAAACUCUCAGUUAGUUUUAUUAAAUCUGUCGUCAUAUAUAUUUCCAUAGUCCAUACUAUACUUAAUUUAUAUUAUAGAUAUUAGUACAUUUUCUUGGUCAUAUUUUAAAAGUUUGGCCUAGAAAAAAGCUAAAACAUCUUACAUUUUGGAAAAGAGAUAGUACAAUACAAUUUAUAGUAAAACAUUAAUGUAAUUUGUACUUCAGAGAUUACAUAUGAAAUGGUUUUGAGACCAGAAUAGUCAAAUGCUAAUUCAAAAGCUUAAUAAAACAGAGGUUUAACAAAGGUCCAUUUAUUGAUCUCAAUCUCACCACCGUUCAAUCUAAUUUAAAUCACAACCCUGAGACCACUACUACAACAGAACUAGUUAUUUCUGAAACAUGAAAACCCCUCUACGCUAACGCAAUUCAGACGUGUCAUCACUCAAGUGUCAGAGAUGACUAUCGAACUUCUGACACGUCGAAGCACGUCAGAGACAACGAAAACCUUCUGACGCCUCUUAAGCUGCACAUGUCAGAGAGAAUUUUCUCGAGGGCCGACGUUAGCGCCUGCCGUUCCCUCCUCUGACGCUUUGGCACCAAUAACGUGUCAGAGCUGCUUUUAGACUGACGUUUUUUAUGUGAUAAGCAUCAGCGCUGAUGGUCCUAGGAUUAAAAAAAGAGACCGUUGACUUUUUUUAUUUUGCGAGAAUACUAAUUUGUGAUUUAAAUCGCACGGAAACAAAUUGCAUCAAUGAAAAUUCAUAUUGAACGACGGUUCGAAUACUUUUCAUUACUUUGCAUACAAGAUCGACUAAUACAUUUCAUUGCAGUACUCCAUAUACAAGAUCGAUCGAAUACAUUUCAUUGCACUAGCUCCAAUCCAUACAAAUCAAACGCUAUGCAUUGCUUUGCAUACAAGAUUGAAUACAUUUCAUUGCACUACAUACAAGGUCGAAUACAUUUCAUUGCAUUGCAUACAUGAUCAUGUACACAUAGAAAUGUCGAUCGCCAGCGCCGCGGAGUAGCUGAGGUGAUGGAGAAGAGGAGAUCAUCUGAAAAGACGAAGAGAAGUAAGCUGUGGAAGAGGAAAGGCGGAAGAACAGGGGGAACGAGAUCCGUGGAAGACAAAAGGAGGAAGAAGAAGGGGAGCAAGAUCUGUGGAAGAAGAAAGAAAAGCAAGCUGUGGAAGAAGAAAGGAAGGCAGAGGAAAAGAAAAUAUAAGGAGAUGGGGGAGAAGGUGGUUGUGGAAAUGAAGAAGAAAUGCACAUAGGCCUUUUUUUACUUGGAAAACCUCUGUAUUCUUACGAAAAAGACGAUGGUCAGAUGGGAUUCUUACGAAAAAGACGACGGGCUAAUGGUGUUGGAGUUCGACUAGAUCUAGGCAUGGUUAAACUUCCGAAGUAGUCGUCGACGAAGAAGAAGUGGAUGAGGCAACAUGGAUGUUGCGACGGCGACGGUGAGGCAGCAACCGGACGUAGCGGAGAGGUGGUCGGCUGCGACUGUGUCUACGAGCGCUCCCCAUAGGUGAUGAAGUGUGUGUGCGCGCUAAGUUUUGCUACUUCCUAAGACGACCGCUUCGUGCCGGGUCAUUUAUAGGCGAGGCAAAGAAGACAGAAAACCCUAAACUAAAGCUGAUUUUCAGUCCAAGGAGCGUCAAAGAGAUAACAACAUCUCUGACAGUUCCCACUCUAGGAAACAUCAGCUUUGAGGCACCUCUGAUGCGUGCGGCGGGAGCAAAUGUCAGAGGUAUACAAACUCUUCAUUUCCCGAUUGAACUAACUGAUCAACUUUACGCGUGUUUACAUAUGUGACGUUCAGUUGAACGAACGUGUCAGAAUUAUGCAUGCUCUUGGUUUUCCGCUCGAAUUAACUGAGCACUUACACCUCUGACUCAUUUUGAGGUAGCAAACGUCAGAGGUAUAUCGAUAGACUCUUGGUUUCGUGAGCAAUGUGCGCGCGCUCAUGCACGCUUGCACACGUUUCCACUCAAUUAAGUGAUGCUUCCUCUUCCGGCCGCUUCCUCUUCCCACUGCUCUCUCCGUACGUUUCCGUGCAGAUGAACAUUACUCACGUCUCUCUCCUAUAGCUGUCUCCUCUUCCCACUCACGUGCACUACUCUCCGGCUAGCUGGCUCUAGCUCGAUCGAUACUGCAGUGGCCAAGGAGAAGGGCAAGGAAUGCCUCGACUAGGCGGAGAGCUCAGCAGGUUGCCGUGGGCGCCCGUCCUUGACUCCGCUGUCCGCCACCUGCCGUGGGCGCCUUCCCAGUUAGCCUCCGCCACCGGCCGACGCUGCCAUGAGUUCGGCCGGACGUCGCCGUCGCUCGCUGCCACCAAAGCGGGCAAGCGGCCCCGGUACGAGGACGACAUCCAGUCCUCAUCCCGCGGCCAGAACCCCCUCAGUGACGACAACGACGCCGAGCUCCAGCACGUCCUCCGAGUGUUGCUCGUCCUAGACACUUGCGAGUAACGUGGUCGUGCAGCCAACCGACGGCAAAUGGUCGCCGCGAGGCCGUCCGUUGGUUCAGGAGAGGAACGAGGAUGGCGGCAGGGUUUGGGACAGAAGUCUGAUGGAUACCGAAGAGACGCAGCCGGUGAGGAUCAGCUGGAGGAGACUGGGGAGCGGAAGAGGGAACCGACAGUGGGGACCUCAAGAGAAGGCCAACAACAGGUUGCAGUAUUGUGGGCUUGGGCGACGGUAACUGAAGCCAUAACGUGCAGUGUACGAUUGAUUUUUUGAAGAUCACACAAUGCAUGCUUGAUCUUUUGGAGACGAUGAUACACAGUGCAUGUUUGAAUAUUUAAAGAUGAUUAUAUAUGCACUGUGUGCUUCGGUUUUAGAUAAACAUGGUUAUUAGAGAUAGGAUAAACUUGUCACCCGGUCAAUUGUAUGUGAUUAGAAUGGAAGCUAUCUCCAGGCUCACCACUGGAUAUCGAACUAACUUAGGAGAAUCCCGAGAGUAUGGUGUCAUUGUUGUCGUCCUUCAGGAACAGCAAGAGCGUCGGCCGUCGGAUCCUAGACCCCAAUUAAAAAAAAAUCCAAUCUUUUGAAGUACUAGCACCAAAUGUGCGUAUCACUACCGACUAAAAAUAUACGUACACUACAUAUAUUAAAGAGCAUGUUGCCCGUCCAACACAAAUGGGAGCAAUUCAUCAUAGACCACCAACCAACACAAAUGGAAGCAAGUCAUCAUAGACCAACCAACACAAAUGGGAGCAACUUUGUCCCACAACAGUACUACUCCGUACAUGCUACAACCAAAUCUCUAGCUAGGCUGGGUCUCAGCAUCACCAGCCAACUGCUAAAGCUCUAUCCUGAAGAUACAUUCAACUGAGUCGAAUGCUAAGUUCAGCGCUCUUUGGACGAACAUUCAAAUAAGUUUCGAUACAACAACCAAACACAUGACACGUUUAGUAUGUCUUGACAUCGAUUCGGUCGAGAGAACUUGCGUUGGCGCGCAAGAUAUUCACCAGCACAGGAACCCUUGCAUCCCCUUCGGUGCAGUAGAUUGUUACCUUCUCAAGGUGCUCAGCAGCAAAUGAUAUUCCCCUGGUUGUUUGAAUCAUUUGCUCGUCCUUUUCACAAUCUAACUGAAAUUUGAAGAGUGCAAUAUUUGAGUAAGACUUCAUGUCACUAAUAAAUAGACAAUAACAAAUGCUGGCCAACGGCAGCCACCUUAAGCUUCAGGUUAAGCUUCUCAAGCAAAGGAGAGUGCCGGAGAAAACAAACAUAAAGAGAUAAGUUGUUAGAAAGAUACCAUUCUCCAAGAGAGAGACUUCUCAGAUUGAUGAACAUUGAGCACCCUGUAGAAACUCCAUCAAAUGCAACCUUCACAUAUUUCAAACAUAAUAAGCACAUGUUUUAAGGACAUAAAUACUGAGACUUGGGAAGAGAUUAAGAAGCACCCAUACCUGUCUCACUGAAGUAGACAAUUAUAUGCUCUCGGCAUUUGAAAGAUAACAUAGAGUUACUGCUGUUGGCGUUAGCAGUAUGGAUUUGGAAGUGCAUCUGCAUCGAGAGCCUUCAAAGCGUAGUAACACCAGUUUGUGAGUACAGAUCAGAAGAUGCUUUAAAACUGAGCAGUCUGUUAUUUCCAGAGUCUUCAACGAGUCCAAUGAGUCCUGAAAAAGUAAUGCCAGCAAGGUUGCGAACAACAAGAUAACAAGAUCCUAAAGCAAAAUAACAUGUGGCUCUAAUCAAAAUCCAUCAUUAAUCAACAUCUCCUCCACUUCUAGAUCUUAAGGACUAACUUCAUAAAAGGUUAAAUAUGCUAUCAACCUCACAACACCCAAGUUUACCGGUGAAAGAUGAUGCCCAAGAGCAAGUAGAAACAAUUAUCACAAACAGAACAGUGGCAAUCUGAAAUGCCAGAAGGAGCUAAUAAAUCAAACAACCACGGAAUACAGGGAAAAAGAAAGGGGGAGUUCACAACUUAGAGACAUAGAACAAACUAUUCUCCAUCAUGAUUUGGGACCUCCAGCUGUCAGCUCCGCCAGCACCUCCUUCAUCGAAAACCACCUUCAUGGCACCCAGUAUCAGAGAAUGGAAAUUAUGUAGUUUCUAUUCCGGAAUGAUUCGGUCAAGGUUGUGGCGGUGCAAGAAAAGUUCCUGGAUGUGAGAAAUAUGGGUUGCUUCUAGGAUUGGCAUCCAACAUUGGAGAAAAGUACUUCUAGCAACACAAGUAACUGCAUUUAUUCUCUUAAACAAACAAAAUACCAUUAUGUCGUAUGUGCCAGAUCCAGCUCAAACAAGUAACUGCAUCUUCUUUCUUAAACAAUAGUUUCUCUUCUUUUUUUCCUACACUGACAGGUGCAUGAUUUCACUUUUACGAGAAAGUGAACUGUGGUAUUGGAUUUCUAGUAAUUUCUAUAAACUGGCCCAUUGGACCAAUAGUCUGCCCGAAAUGAUUUAUUCCUAUAUGUGAGGCGUGCACUUCUGCACCAUGUGAUCCUACUGUCCUCGAGCGCGGCCUCGCACCACGUAAUCUUGAUCACUUCAUUGUAGAGCUCGCAAACCAUUCAUUCUGACCAACAUUGAUCUUGUUGUAGACGCGCCCUUAGUGCAUGCCGGGUCCAAUGCUUCCGUUGCCAAGCGCAUUUUAGCAUUUUUUUAUGCCAUCAAAGUACGACUAGGCACACGCCCUGCCUCCUCACGUGCCCCGAUGCGACGAAGCUGCAACUUUGAGGCAUGGGCCAGGACAGACGUUUUUGGUCGUGUGGGCCUUGGCCCUCACGCGGCCUAGCUCCAAGCCACACCCUUCUGGCCGGGUGGGCCUUGGCCUUUCACAAGACACGUGAGCACCAAGGCCCGCACGACCAAUAGGGUAUGUCCUGGCACUAAGCAACACGAGGGUCACGACCCACAGAACAAUAAGGGUGUAGGGUGUGUCCUUGCCGACACCUAAAAGAUGGAGCUUUUUCGUCACAUCAAGGCGUUGGUCUCAUGAUGAGACAAGGACGUGUGCCUAGUCAUACUUUAAUGCCAUUGGGCAGAUUGCCAAAGUGUGCCGGGCAACAGAACUAUUAGAACUAGCAUGCGCUAAAAAAAGGAUGCGUUGACAACAAGAUCAAUUGUGGUAAAAAUGUGUGGUUCACGAGCCUAUAAUAAAGUGAUCGAGAUUAUGAGGGUCGAGGCCACACUUGAUGGAGGAAAGCAUUGCGAUGGUAGGGCCACAUGGUGGAGAAGCGCUCGCCUCAUGUAUACGAAUAAAUCAUUUGGGCAGGCUAUUGGUCACAUGGGCUAGUUUACAGAUAUAGCUAGAAAUUCAAUACCAUAUUUCACCUUCUUAUGCGAGUAAAAUCCUGCACCUGUCAAUAUAAGCAAAAAGAUGACACACUAUUGAGAAACAGUAUGAACUGGAUCUAACACGUACUGCAUAAUGAUAUUUUGUUUAUUUUUAGAAAGAAGAUGCGGUUACUUGUGUGGCCACAAGUACCUUUCUCCAUUGUCGAACAUGCCAACCCCAGGAUCAAUCCAUAGUACUCAUAUCGAGGAACUUCUCUUGGGCCAACACAACCCUAAAGGAAUCAUUCCAAAACAGAAAUAACGAAAUUUCCAUUCUCUGAUACUCAUGCAACAGACGUGGCGUUUGAUGGAGGAGGAGGUGUUGGUGGAGCCGACAACUAGAGGUCCCAAAUCCUGAUAGAGAACGUUGGUUUUACGUCUCUAAGUUGUGAGCUCUGCCUCUAUUCUUCCUUGUAUUCCUUGAUAAUUUGAAUCAUUACUUGUUUGGUAGUUUAUCAUUCUACUAGCAUUUCAAAUUCGAACUCUCCCAAACUUGGGUGUUGUCAGCUUGAGAGCAUACUUCACCUUGUAUAUGAAGUACUUAAGAUCUAAAAGUGGACGGAUGUUGAUUAAUCAUGUAUUUUGAUUGGAUCCACGGGAAAUUCUACUUUAGGAUCUUGGGGUAAUUGUUGUUUGAAACAUUGCCAAUAUUGCUUUUCUAAGACUUCUUUGUGAAACUGAAAACUAAAUGGUAUGUUUCUUUCUUGUGUUGAAUAUGGAUAUAUUUAGAACAACGAUAGGCUAGUACCAGUAUGUGCUUCUCUUCUUUGUGUGGAUUAUGGUUGUCCAUCACCAUACACUGAAUUAAGAAUGAUUAUGCGGUUGGAGCUAUCAUACCGGUGAGAGAAGAUUUUUGUGUUAUGAAGGAGUUAUCUUCCAUAAUUGCUUUGGUGUUGUUCCGCUGUUUUUUUGUCACUGUUUUGUUCUCUAAAAUACUCAGGUACAAUGUAAACUAAGCUAGACGUAUUUCAAGAAAGCACAUAUAUUUCUAUUAAAUCGACAGAAACGAUGGGUGAAGUUUUGAGGUGGCACACCAUGGAUAGUUUAUCCGAUCUUUAUCUCCUGAUUUUAAUGCGUAGCCUCUUAUACUUGUCUGGAAAUGUAUCCAGUGAAAACCUUCUCUAGGUGCAAAUCUGAGAACUUCAUUUCUGCAGCGGGGAUUGUGAACAAAGGUGGGAUGCCAGCCCAGCCAGCUUUGUCUCCAGAUCUUGUUUUGUUCACAUUCUCCGACAGUUCAAGGAGACCCGCAUGUGUCACAACUCGACGGCCAACCAAGCUGCGACGCGCGACUGUCAUCCUGCGCCAGGUUUCACCCUACCAUGAUCGAUGUGAUCUUCCUCCAUCCAUAUAAUUCAAAGGCGGUGACCAGUGAACGGCAGCAACACAAUGGCCAGCAAACGGUGGUGCGUCCCCUCACGAUAGAAACUAAAUAUCCACCGUUACUGCUCCAGCAAGCGGUGCGCUAACCCUCUGACGAAGGUCCUUACACCUUGUCCCCCAUCCCAAGCGACACCAACAGUAGCCAUCUAAAUACAAAUGAACACCUCUAGUUGCAACACCUGCACAUGCUGAGGGAAGGGGGUGUGGGCGAGGAGCAGCAUCUUUUUCCCUGGAUAUUUGACUUUAGUUGGUAUCCAAACAGUGGCUUACUAUAUGAUAAGAAGAUGAGAUAUGAACUUAAAUAAGUCACUGUUCGCAUGGGGGACACAAAGAACUUGGAAGGAUAAGACUGAGUUCACAAAUGAACCAAAUAUGAUCAAGCGGAAGUUAUAGAAAAGAUCAUUAAAUGACCAAGACGAAGUUACAGAACAGGCUAACGCUUAGCAGGAAGCAGAUAAACAAAGAGUACAGUUUCUAGCGAGAGCACCAGAUAUAUGUAAUACACCGAAACAAACAAAAAUCAAAUCAAAUCUCCACAGUCCACGCCAACAGAGAACAGCAAGUAGCUAGGAUUGAAGUUGUAACUGGUAAACAUGAGCGAAUAAACUUCUAUAAGACUGCAACCUAAUAUACCUCACGCAGCUCGAAUCAAAUCGAAUCAGCGAGGUGUGGAGUCUCAGUGUCUCACCCAGUAGCGCCGGGAGAGCGACUCCGCGGUAUGGCCCUCGUCCCAGCCGGCGGCGAAGCGGUCGCCUCUGACGCCGCUCCUCCAAGUACAUGUAGAUCUGGUCCUCCAUGCUCCCACCGCCUCUCUACCCCUACCCGGCUGUGGCACGGCGGCGGGGCUGCCACGCCGUCACCGAUGGGGGCGUCAGCGGGAGCAUCAUAUGGGAUCCCGACGGAAGGAUGUGUCCCGCCGUCGCCGAUGGGGGCAGAGCGGCCGAUGCGGGGGAGGGACGCGAGAGAUAGAGGAGAUCGACGGGGAAGGCAGAAUCGAAA